UAGCCACAAGGGACGGAGAGAAAGUGACAGGCGUGGCUGAGCACAUCGGAGAUUCUGGAACAAAUGUUAGCAGUAGAGGAAUUCUUGCGGCGACCAUGGUGGGGAUCGGAUUGGGUUCGGCGAGAAAAAUAGCGAAGUCGUGUUCACUCCCCAAGUGGCUGACUUCACUGUCUGUCGAAGUGUCGAUCACACUCUCUGCUCCUGCAGCGGUGGAUCCAGAAGUUGGGUACGCUGCAGCCCAGCAGCCCCGCCAGCUGCCCUUGCAAAGCUUGUGAGCAGCGAAGCACGCCGGGCGCUGCGAAGCUGCGUAACAACGUGAGGUCAGGCCAGCCGCGCGUUAGCGCAUUGGAACGGCCUCUUCAUGUGCGGAGUUCAGAAGAUCUAUCCGCCGAAACCAUAGGAUGUGUGAUCUGCCAAUUCAUUUCGAUGGUCGCCCACUCUCUCUCCCUCUCCCACUCGCUGGAGACCACCGGCAGCCUGAGCUCCUCGCACCGCCACCUCAGGGAAGCCCAACCUCCUUGCGCACGCGGAUCCCCCGUGCUACUCCCACUGCAGCCGGGGGAUGGGGGUUGGGAGAAGGCGGCGGCAACGCAACCCUAGAGCAAAUGACCAUGGAACACGCGAGCGGUCCUAGCGAGGCCAGCAGCGGCGGAUCGAGGCAACCGGCGUGGAGGAGCUCGACAUGGGUAGAGUUUGACCUUAGUCCACGCCACACCGGCAUUCGCGGGGGCAUAUGCAUACGCGCAGGUUAACACGAGAUCUAAUCCCCACUGCGUCGCGCUAGUGGACGGAGCAUGGCUAGUGCCGAUCUUUCAAAUGCAUCAGAUGUGCGAGUAAUUUCAUCCCAUUCCUCUCUACUUCCCUCGCAACACACUUCUUAUUCGUUCUAAUUCCCUCUCUGUUUUUUUUUUAUAAACGGCGGCGGCGGCAAUGGCUUGCAGAUGAGAGGUAGCUAGCUUCAUUCUAUUAUGAUCCCAACCUCCUCGGUGAUGACAAAUAAAUGGAAUGCGGCUCUUAAGCGCAGAUUCUAUUAUGGCUCGGGUGAAUUUCAGAUCAGGCAAAUUUCUGUUCUCAACUAUGCAGCCCCUUUUAAAUAUUUUUAGCUAAUCAGAAUGUUGCUUCUCUGAUUAGACAUUAUACCCUUUUCAAUUACCUUUUCAGUUAGGCAAAGGUGCAUGAAUUUUUAAUUAAGAAAGUUACUCCUUUCUCAAAUUUGUCUCUUUUUUUAUACUUUUCUCAAGUUUGGCAAAAUUAUUGUUUCAUUCUAGAAUAAUCUACAUUACAAUAGGAAGUUUGCUUACUUAAAGAGCAGAGUUUCUAGAGAGAAAAUGCAGGGAACAGAGAUGCAUACUUAAAAAAUGAGGACACAUAUGUAUCAUCGUGUAUGUCUCAGGCUGAUGUUUUUUUAGUCAUGUCGUAUGUUCAGUCAAAUAACAGACUGUGGGCCAUCAUCCAAUGCAGUAAUUAUCAGUGUAGUGUAUGCAUAUUGUUUUAGCACUACGUUUUUCAGUUAUGAUCAAAUAAUAUAUUGUAUUUUUACAAUGAUAGCUUGAUACUAGCAAGUUUCUAGUUACAUCUAAGCAGUUUACUUGUUGUGUUUUAGCAAUAUUUUAGUCUAGAACAUUUUAUUUUUGCAAUUAUAUUUUGACAUUCCAGCAUUUCCAGUAAUGUUUUAGCAUCACUAGCGAUCAGUUAUUUUGUGUGGUCUAUUAAUUUCUUUUCAUUUUAGCAUCUUGUAUUUCUGGAAUUAUAGCCUGACACUAUCAUUUUUCCAGUUACAUCCAAACAAUUUACUUAUUGUGUUUUAUCAUUAUUUUAGUCUAAUAUAUUCCAUUUUUACCAUUAUAUUUUGAUACUGAAAUAUUUCUUAUAGUGUUUUUAGCAUCACUGGGGAUCUAUUGUUUUGUGUCCUCAAAUAAUUUCUCGUCAUUCUAGUAUGUCGUAUUUUUGCAAUUAUAGCCUGGCACUCUAGUAUUUUUCCUAUUAUGUUUAAGAAGUUUACUUAAUUGUAUUUUAGCAACUUUAAUUUACUAUAUUUCAUAUUUUGAAUUAUACCUGGGCACUCUAGCUAGCAUUUUCAGUGAUGUUUUAGUAACUUUCUCCAUGUCUCUCUCCCUCUCUCUCAUAGAUCGCCGUGUUCAUACCCUCUUUCUUGCUUUGCCACUCCUGCUGCCUUUUCCUUGAAUUUCUUCUCUAGAUCAUCAGGUUCAGAAUAUUUAUGCAGUUCCAUGACAUUUGCAUUUUUGUAAAUAAUUUUAUAUCCAAUUUAGAAGCAAUUUAUAUGAGCUAUUACUUGGUUAUGGUUAUGCAAUUAGGACAGUCUAGUGAAGAAUUUAGGCAAUUUAGUUUAUGCAUGACAAGCUUUCCAUAUUGAAACUAGGAGCAAUUCUAUUUUGGUCACUAUGUGGUUUAUUUGUGCAAUAAUGGUGGUAUAUUUUUUGACGCACUAAAGUUUUGCUGCUUGUGCCCUUAUACUAGACCUUAGUUUGCUUUCAUGUUAGUGAAUAAAAUUGGCAUAUUUGUAUAUCUCUGAGCAAAGUAUUUCAAUUGGGUAGUAGUAUUUUCCCAUGUUUUGAUGGAUUAGCUAUCGGUUCUACUGGAAUUCAUUUCUAGGCAACUCAAAUGAACAAGCAAUUUAUUCUUUUUAGUUUACUAUUUUUGUGUUCUGGUUUUGGCAUUUUCUCAUAUUGUAACAAUUUGUGAAGCAAGUGUUCAUUUUUAGUUUAGCAUUUGUAUUCUAAUUUAGCCUUUUUUGUGUUCUGAUUACCAGCCAUCUUCAAUUUUAUUUCUACUAAUUCAAAUUCUUCCUUAUUUCUAGGAUUUUGAGGAGGUGUGAAGACUUGUUUUCUAUAUGUUUAUAUGACAGUCCAUUCAUAGUUCAAAAUGCAUUAUGAUGCCUGACAUUACGUGUUCUUUUCAAUAGGGUGGAGUGAAACUAAAAACACUGACGUAUUGAAUGAUGGUACUAUGUUCUAAGGUGCCUCAUCAUUUUUGAGUAGCACCAACGAAUUAGGUGGUCGAUGGCACGAAAAUGUGGUCGGCCUGAGUGGGACAUGGGAGCGGAAGGAGGUGGAGUGUUGGCACUACCGAGAAAUGAGCACGGGAAGAAAAAACGUGAAAAGAAGAAUUUUCUGGAGCAAGAAAAGUGUGCUACUAGUAUGGAUUAACUUUUCCAAUUAGGAGCGGCCAUACGGCUGGCCUAAUUUAUGACUGGUCCUAGGUUAGCUGGGUCCUUGUUGUAAUGGUGAAAUAUUAUUAUUCCAUUAGUAUAACUCGUUCAUUAAUCUAAAAUUUCAACUGUUCCAUGCUA